GACGAACGCUGGCGGCGUGCUUAACACAUGCAAGUCGAACGGAAAGACCCUGCUUUUGUGGGGUGCUCGAGUGGCGAACGGGUGAGUAACACGUGAGUAACCUGCCCUUGACUUUGGGAUAACUUCAGGAAACUGGGGCUAAUACCGGAUAGGAGCUCCUGCUGCAUGGUGGGGGUUGGAAAGUUUCGGCGGUUGGGGAUGGACUCGCGGCUUAUCAGCUUGUUGGUGGGGUAGUGGCUUACCAAGGCUUUGACGGGUAGCCGGCCUGAGAGGGUGACCGGCCACAUUGGGACUGAGAUACGGCCCAGACUCCUACGGGAGGCAGCAGUGGGGAAUAUUGCACAAUGGGCGGAAGCCUGAUGCAGCAACGCCGCGUGCGGGAUGACGGCCUUUGGGUUGUAAACCGCUUUCGCCUGUGACGAAGCGUGAGUGACGGUAAUGGGUAAAGAAGCACCGGCUAACUACGUG
rnacentral:rRNA from 1 species